CAAGUCAGCCGGGUAAUCGCUGGUACCCUCGGGUACUGGAGGAAAGUCCGGGCUCCACAGGGCAGAGUGCCAGCUAACGGCUGGGAGGCGUGAGUCUACGGAAAGUGCCGCAGAAAAUAUACCGCCAGUCUUCGGGCUGGUAAGGGUGAAAUGGUGCGGUAAGAGCGCACCGCGCUGCUGGUAACAGUAGUGGCAGGGUAAACCCCACUCGGAGCAAGACCAAAUAGGAAAACUAUGGUGCUGCCCGCACUGUUUUCGGGUUGGUUGCUUGAGAAUCGUUGGUGACAAUGGUUCCAGAUGAAUGAUUAUCCACGACAGAACCCGGCUUACAGGCUGACUUACUUU
rnacentral:RNase_P_RNA from 1 species